rfam:Caenorhabditis tropicalis strain JT1373 unplaced genomic scaffold Scaffold344, whole genome shotgun sequence.
GCUUACGACGAUAGCACGUUGGCUGCACGCCAUGCCGUCCGAUCUGGCAAGUUAAGCAACGUUGAGUGCAGUUAGUUUUUGGAUCGGAGACUGCCUGGAAAAAUAAGCUUUUGCAUUUU